UUCCUUAAUGGGACUCAGUAGCGGUUAAGGGCAGGAUUAUUCGAGGAAGGUGGAUGUCAGUGGUUUAGACUGGAUUUACUUUGUUUAAGAUUGCACCGCGAUUUUUUGCAACACUUCCAGAAAGCCCUUCGCAACACUGGAUGAUAAAGUUAAACUGCGUUUCGGGGUGGUCGAACCGUUCAGGCUCACAGAGGGAGGGCUGCCUAGAGUGCAUUGCUGGGCUUUUUAUGGGCUGUAAUUCUCCAAGAAAAGGACAAAAACUUGGAUUCCAGUUGCUUCAGAAUUGGAAGGUGGAAAUGGCUUAUAUGAAGUCGCCAAGGACCCACAGACCCAACAAGGGACUGGUUAUCAAGAUACUUGUUUCCAAAGGCUUAGCUUCAUCGGGGUUCUAUAGACCUUGCCACCAUGCAUCAGUAAUAAGAUUUUAAUUCUAAUAAACUUU